rnacentral:lncRNA from 1 species
UCUAAAGAUCUUGGAGGAUGGAAGAAUGGAAAUGGAAGUGAUGGAAAAAUUGUGAAGGGAGGGUCACUACUUAUAGAAAAUGGGGACCGUCAGAUUUGUGCAAAGUGGUAAAAUUAGGUGAAGAGAGGAAAGUAAAUGGGAAAGGUGUGAUGUGAUAAUUGAUAGAUGUGACCAGCAAAUGGACGAUACGACGUGACGGCGGUGCAAAAAUUAGAGGCAUGCCAUGCAAACAAUGAUGGUACAUUGCCCAAAUGAGGGCGGUACGCCGCCCAAGUUGGUGGUGCUAACUGUCAAAAGGUGGCGCACGACACUCAACGGGGUGGCACGCCCUUCUGGAGGCAGUGCGCACAGCCCAAGCCAGCCAUGCACUAUAGACCUAGCCUCCCACGCACAAGCCUAGCCUGUCUUGUGUGCAGGCUUUAUAGCAUGCCAGGCACUACAUGUAGGCCUACCGUGCAGAAGGCGCACGCAGACCGCACCUCACACAAUACGCAAAUAGGACAUGCGCACAGUACGCACAUCCUGUG